rnacentral:rRNA from 1 species
UACGUAGGGUGCAAGCGUUGUCCGGAAUUAUUGGGCGUAAAGAGCUCGUAGGCGGUCUGUCGCGUCGGCUGUGAAAACUCGGGGCUCAACCCCGAGCCUGCAGUCGAUACGGGCAGACUAGAGUGCUGUAGGGGAGACUGGAAUUCCUGGUGUAGCGGUGAAAUGCGCAGAGUAAUCAGGAGGAACACCGGUGGCGAAGGCGGGUCUCUGGGCAG